CGCUGGAUCAUCUAUGUUGAGGAUGGCUUCACCGACUUGUGCAUCGUCCGAGGGUUUGUUCAGGACAUUACAGUUCGAAGGACAUGCAAAUGUUUGAUUCUCCCUGUGCAGUGUCAAUCAACUGUUGAUUGCAGGAGCAAGGUACUCAAUAGAGUUCUUUUGCUGCAUUCAGAAUCAAGAUCUAUGUAGUACAUGCCUUACAUAUUGGGUAAUGGCUACUUCCCCUUUCUUCCUCUGCCAUCUUCCCAGCAGCCAUGGUUCUCAUACCACUGCUCAUUGCGAGGUUCCCAGUCUGCCUUCCCUCCCCACUCUCACAGGAACGCUGACUGGCAGCGCCCAUGCCUUUUCCCGACAGUGCCAUGGCACCUCUCUAUAGAAAAUAGACAAGAUGGGGACAACAAGUUUUCUUUCUCCCAAUUCUGGCACCCCCAUCACUUCCUUAAUUUUUCAUUACAAUUUUAAUGUCAGUAUUUUUCCUUAAGAAAGUUUGCUAACCAUGGCUUCAUUGCUAAUCAGUUUAUGGUUCACUUACUUGCCCAAAACAUAAUGU